rnacentral:rRNA from 1 species
UACGGGGGGGGCGAGUGUUACUCAUAAUAAUUGGGCGUAAAGGGUGCGUAGAUGGUUUGUAAAGUUAAAUAUUAAAGAACAGGAAAAUACUUGUGAAGUAUUUAAAACUAGUAAACUAGAGUUUAAUAGAGGAAAGUGGUAUUCUUAUAGGAAAGGUGAUAUUUUGAGAUAAUAAGAGGACGACCGAAGGCGAAGGCAACUUUCUAGAUUAAACUGACAUUGAGGCACGAAGGCAUGGGGAGCAAAUAGG